rnacentral:tRNA from 1 species
UUAUAUUCUAUAAAAGAUUUUGAGUUGCAAAUUCAAAGAAGUGAUUUACUAAAGCUUAAAAAAAUA